UACGUAGGGUGCAAGCGUUAAUCGGAAUUACUGGGCGUAAAGCGUGCGCAGGCGGUUUUGUAAGCCAGAUGUGAAAGCCCCGGGCUUAACCUGGGAAUGGCAUUUGGGACUGCAAGGCUUGAGUGCGGCAGAGGAGACUGGAAUUCCUGGUGUAGCGGUGAAAUGCGCAGAUAUCAGGAGGAACACCGGUGGCGAAGGCGGGUCUCUGGGCCGAUACUGACGCUGAGGAGCGAAAGCGUGGGGAGCGAACAGG
rnacentral:rRNA from 1 species